ensembl:lncRNA
GGGGAAGGGAGGGGCUGGAAUGGAAGGACAUGUAGCCUAUGAAGGGUGUAAGAUUAUAUAACAAUAAUAAAUAAAUAAAAAUAAAUCAUGAACUAUAUAAAUAAAUAAAGUAAACAAAUGCAUUGCUAGUAAUUGAAUGAGACUUUUAUAUGACUCAAGCUGCCUGAGGGAGGACUUGACCGACAAGCAGGCGAAUGCAGAACAGAAAGGCUGUUCGUUUUGUUUGUUCUCUACUGGUCGGCCAUUUGCUUCCUCUCCCCUUCGCAACUGUCCACUGAUUGGUGGCUCAUGCAGUGACGACCAGGAAGUGAUGUCACCAGUAUCCUUGUUCCCUGGUUGGUGGAAUGGGAGGGGAGGCUGGAUAGACUCCUCUUACUUUAAAGACUCUUCAAAAUGAGAGUGAGGAAGUCAGAGAGCGAGAGAGGGAGAGAGAGAGAGGGGGAAAGAGAGAGAGAGAAGGAGAGAAAGACUAGAAAGGGAUGGAUCCCAAUGAACUGUGCCAAAGCUCCUUUCACCUCCUCUUCCACUCACUCCUCUCUUCUCCACCCUUCCCACUAUAGGUUGUUUCUGCAUUGUGUUUUAUGUCUCACCCUUAUUUCAUCACCCUCUUACCAUCACCCUGUUAGAGCUCUUAGAAACCACCAGUCCAAGCCAAAGGUCACCACCUCACACAUAUGAACUGUUGAGUUUGGAACUCUGUAACCAUGGAAUCACAGCAUGUGUUCUAAUCACUUACCCACUAGACAUCACGUUGACCUCUAGCCUGGAAGACAGGACAGCUCAUGACUUUGGGCACAGAAAGCAAACAUAGCUCUGUGUAACUUAUAGGGACCAUGUGAGUCCCAGAGGACAAGAAGAACAAGAGUUGUGUUGAUUGAAGGGAGGAGGACUCUGAGACCUUGGCUGGACAUAUUGAAAUAAGAGAAGAGAGAGAGAGAGGAAACACCUACGUCCUUCUACAAUACAUAGACCUCUCACUCUACCUUUAAAUGAAUGCUGUUCUAUCAUCUAACAGCAUCAUUACAUUGUCUGGACUGGAUUACUGAUCAGUGGCCCCGUGGCCCCUGACUGUUCAAUAACAGACUGCUGUAUCUCUAUAUUCAACAGGUGGGCCACAGCUAUUGUGACCAUACCAAUAGCCGUCUCCAAGCCAAUGUCAUGAAAUUCACACAGCUACCAAGCUUUGUUAGGAGGAUGAAACAAAUGUGUUAUAGAGUUAAAAUGUGUGUCUGGGAAUGAAUUCUAUAAAGCAGAAGAAAGUGAACGGAGGAAAUCGGAGGACUGAAGAUUAUUAUUGUGGGGAUAAAGUACAUAGAAAUAGCUGUCCAUCAAAAAUUAUAUUUUAUUAAUAAUUACUUUUUCAUUUUAUACUUCAUAUAUGUAUUGUUUUGAUGAUCCUGUCUUUUGACAUGGAGGCUUUGGUUUCGUCCUAUUCCCUAUGUAGUGCACUACUUUUUGCCAGAGUCCUAUGGUCCCCGGUCAAAAGUAGUGCACUAUAUAGGGAAUAUGGUGUUAUAUGGGACACACCCUUUUAGACAUUGUUGUUCAGCGGAACCUCUAUCCCUGGGGUUCCUUCCUGCUUGGAAUGUCUACUGUCCAAUCUCUGCCAAACGCUGCCCACUCUUCAGCCAAUGACAGACAAGCCUUUCCUUUGUCAUCCAAUGAGUGUUGUGGCAAAGUACUACUCAUGUAAAUAUCAGCAGACCUUAUCCUUAUAUGCAGAUUAUGACACUUUUACAACAUACAGACUCCAGGUCUCUCAGAGUGUGUUCUUGUCUAUAUUAUUGUCUCUGAAAGAUUGUUGUCUUGAUGUGAUCCAUAAAUAUGCUCCAUGUGUAUAUUGUAUUAUCCCCC